rnacentral:rRNA from 1 species
UACGUAGGGGGCAAGCGUUGUCCGGAAUCAUUGGGCGUAAAGAGCGUGUAGGCGGCCAGAAAAGUCCGCUGUGAAAACUCGAGGCUCAACUUCGAGCUGUCGGUGGAAACUUCUGGCUAGAGUCCGGAAGAGGAGAAUGGAAUUCCUGGUGUAGCGGUGAAAUGCGCAGAUAUCAGGAAGAACACCAGUGGCGAAGGCGAGUCCCUGGACAACACCUGACACUGAGGCACGAAAGCUAGGGGAGCAAACAGG